rnacentral:lncRNA from 1 species
AAAAGCAAAGCAAAGAUCGGAUACGUUAGUUUAUGUGUAAGGGUUGAAUAGCUCACCUCCAUACUUUCUAGUUUCUCUUCUCCUAUGGCCAAACACACUAUUCAUGCGGUUGUUGUAUUCAUGUUUAGACAUGCCGGUUUGACAAAUACUAAUCCUCACUAAAAUGUAUUAUCUAUGGGAUGGGUUAUCUAUAUCGACAAUUCAUAUGGACUAACAAUAUCGACUUAGUUAAUGAAAUCAGAACAAAAGAGAGUGAACACAAGUGGAAAAAGUUUCUCACAUGGAACAUAUCCCAGUCAGGCUGCAUGAACUCUCCAAGGAAAAGAGAAUUGUAAGCCACAGAAGAAAUAUGAAUGGUGUGGGAGGCAGGAUCACGAGGGUAAUAAUCAUCAGAAGCUCUCACGACCGCAGUCUGUUUGGCGCUGUAGAGACUGUCGGUGUUGUGGCACAUACAAGCAAUGCAUCCAUUGUCAGAAAAGUUACGAGCAAUCGAAGCUUCAAGAGCCUGAUGGUAGCUACGAGUAAGUGUAACCCUGCCACCAUGACCAGCACCGAGGGUCUCAAUAAUGUUUUGCACAUCAACCUUCACGCCGUCAAUACCGCAGGAAGCCAAGUAGGAAUGGAGCUCGUUAUAAAAAUUAAAGACUUUCUUUGGAUGCACAAGGCCAAUGCCAUGAACAGCCAAGCUGUCUACAACUAUGUCU